rnacentral:rRNA from 1 species
GACGAACGCUGGCGGCGUGCUUAACACAUGCAAGUCGAGCGGUAAGGCCUUUCGGGGUACACGAGCGGCGAACGGGUGAGUAACACGUGGGUGACCUGCCUUUAGCUUCGGGAUAAGCCUGGGAAACCGGGUCUAAUACCGGAUAUGACCUCAUGUCGCAUGGUGUGGGGUGGAAAGUUCUUCGGCUAGAGAUGGGCCCGCGGCCUAUCAGCUUGUUGGUGGGGUGAUGGCCUACCAAGGCGACGACGGGUAGCCGGCCUGAGAGGGCGACCGGCCACAUUGGGACUGAGACACGGCCCAGACUCCUACGGGAGGCAGCAGUGGGGAAUCUUGCGCAAUGGGCGAAAGCCUGACGCAGCGACGCCGCGUGAGGGAUGACGGCCUCGG